UUGAAGGUCGUAUCGGUCCGGUAAUACCGCAGGCAACAGUUCAUUCCACAACGCAGUCUUAAGAGGCUGUUAAUACCUAUAACGCGCAUACUGUCUAAUUGUAUCGGAGUAAAUGAGAUAGCACUGUCGCAUGUUACUGGGCCUGGGCAAAGGAAUAAUAAGAAAA